rnacentral:rRNA from 1 species
AUUGGACGCUGGCGGCAGGCCUAACACAUGCAAGUCGAGCGAGAAAGGUCUUCGGACUGAGUACAGCGGCGGACGGGUGAGUAAUGCGCAGGAAUCUACCUGGUAGUGGGGGAUAACUCGGGGAAACUCGAACUAAUACCGCAUACGCCCUACGGGGGAAAGCGGGGGACCUUCGGGCCUCGCGCUAUCAGAUGAGCCUGCGUAGGAUUAGCUUGUUGGUGAGGUAAAGGCUCACCAAGGCGACGAUCCUUAGCUGGUCUGAGAGGAUGAUCAGCCACACUGGAACUGAGACACGGUCCAGACUCCUACGGGAGGCAGCAGUGGGGAAUAUUGCGCAAUGGGCGAAAGCCUGACGCAGCCAUGCCGCGUGUGUGAAGAAGGCCCUUGGGUUGUAAAGCACUUUCAAUUGGGAAGAUAAUGACGGUACCAGCAGAAGAAGCCCCGGCUAACUCCGUGCCAGCAGCCGCGG